GGCCCAGACUCCUACGGGAGGCAGCAGUGAGGAAUAUUGGUCAAUGGGCUUACGCCUGAACCAGCCAAGUCGCGUGAGGGAAGACUGCCCUAUGGGUUGUAAACCUCUUUUGUCAGGGAGCAACGCCGGCUACGUGUAGCCGGACUGAGAAUACCUGGAGAAAAAGCAUCGGCUAACUCCGUGCCAGCAGCCGCGGUAAUACGUAGGUGGCAAGCGUUAUCCGGAUUUACUGGGUGUAAAGGGCGUGUAGGCGGGAAAGCAAGUCAGAUGUGAAAACCAUGGGCUCAACCUGUGGCCUGCAUUUGAAACUGUUUUUCUUGAGUACUGGAGAGGCAGACGGAAUUCCUAGUGUAGCGGUGAAAUGCGUAGAUAUUAGGAGGAACACCAGUGGCGAAGGCGGUCUGCUGGACAGCAACUGACGCUGAGGCGCGAAAGCGUGGGGAGCAAACAGGAUUAGAUACCCGGGUAAC
rnacentral:rRNA from 1 species